rnacentral:pre_miRNA from 10 species
CUGCCAGGGUGAACGAGGCGACUGGUUGUCUAAUAUCAGCUGGUAAUCCUGAGCUGGCGACGACACUCAGGGUGCUCACUGAUAUACGAUAAACAGACCACCAUAUUGAACACAUCGGG